rnacentral:snRNA from 1 species
GUGCUCGCUUUGGCAGCACAUACACUAAAAUUGGAAUGAUACAGAGAAGAUUAGCAUGGCUCUUGCACACAGAUGACACGUAAAUUUGUGAAGGAUUCCAUAAAUUU